GACGAACGCUGGCGGCGUGCCUAACACAUGCAAGUCGAACGGAACUUACCGAAUGAAGUUUUCGGAUGGAUUUUGGUAAGUUUAGUGGCGGACGGGUGAGUAACGCGUGAGUAACCUGCCUUCAAGAGGGGAAUAACGUUCUGAAAAGAACGCUAAUACCGCAUAACAUACGGAUGUCGCAUGGCAACCGUAUCAAAGAUUAUAUCGCUUGAAGAUGGACUCGCGUCCGAUUAGCCAGUUGGCGGGGUAACGGCCCACCAAAGCGACGAUCGGUAGCCGGACUGAGAGGUUGAACGGCCACAUUGGGACUGAGACACGGCCCAGACUCCUACGGGAGGCAGCAGUGGGGGAUAUUGCGCAAUGGGGGCAACCCUGACGCAGCAACGCCACGUGAACGAUGAAGGUCUUCGGAUUGUAAAGUUCUUUUAUUAAGGACGAAGAAGUGACGGUACUUAAUGAAUAAGCUCCGGCUAACUACGUGCCAGCAGCCGCGGUAAUACGUAGGGAGCAAGCGUUGUCCGGAUUUACUGGGUGUAAAGGGUGCGUAGGCGGCAGAGCAAGUCAGAUGUGAAAUCCGUGGGCUUAACCCACGUACUGCAUUUGAAACUGUUUUGCUUGAGUGAAGUAGAGGCAGGCGGAAUUCCCUGUGUAGCGGUGAAAUGCGUAGAGAUAGGGAGGAACACCAGUGGCGAAGGCGGCCUGCUGGGCUUUAACUGACGCUGAGGCACGAAAGCGUGGGUAGCAAACAGG
rnacentral:rRNA from 1 species